rnacentral:lncRNA from 1 species
GAACUGCAUUCUGUAUCUCAAGGAAAGAGCAAGAACAAGUGUUGCCUGGUUAUAUCACAAGUACCAAUGUCCUGCUGAACUGCUGUGGGAGCCCAGUGGCAAGAAGACCUAAUUUCAUCUUGGGCAGGAUGGGGAGACUCCCAGGACACCAUCCAAGCUGCAUCCGGAAUGAUCAGGAGGCAUUUGACAAUGCUUCUCUGCGGCCUCACAGGCUGGCAGGCAGCCUGUGAUGGGGCCCUGCUCAGAAGACCCCCGCCUCUGCGGGGCCUCCAGGCUCCUAGGAUUCACCAGCUUCCUCCUCAGUGUCUGCUGCACUGGGGUCGAGAAUUCUGCAGCACCUGGUCCUGGAGUUCAGGAUUCUGGACUUGUUACCCUGCCGAGGAUCCGAGGAGGUUCUGUGUUGUUUCAUGUGACCAAGAAUCAAAAAGCUGACCCAGAGGAGGUCUCAUGGGGCUUUGGCCCUGAGUUAAACUACAGCGUCAUGCUGCGAGUCCGCCGUGGGGCAGACACCCCAACCUGGGUCAGCCUCCAGGACAAGUACCAGCACAGGGUCCAUGUGCCUAACAUCCUGUUCCUGAGGAUUGAUAACCUGACCCUAGAGGACAGUGGGCAGUACCGGGCUCGAGCCAGCUUCACUAGAGGAAUAGAAUUAAACCAGGUUUUCCUCCUCACUGUCUAUGAAACUGUACCCGUUCCUAAGAUCCUUGUCAAGUCAGCAUCCUUCACACCAGGCUGGUGCAAUGCCACUCUGGAGUGCACAGCCCCAGGGGAUACAAAGGACCUGAAGGUGACCUGGGAGAUCAAGGACCUUCCCAGGGAGCUGGAGCAGAGAGUGACAUCAGAACUACCCUCCAAGUCCUGGAACCUGACUCUGUGCCUGCCUGUGAGCCAGCCCAGUGGCAGCUUGACCUGUAUGGUCAGCAACCAGGUGGACCAGAAAACUGCCACCUUAGGCCUUGGAGAAGUCUGUGUCUCUGAUUCACCUGGAAACAAUGAUGAUAAGACCCUGUCAGGCAUCAUAGGGACUGUCGUGAUUAUCCUGUUGAUCUGCGUAAUUGGACUGUUCCUUUGGAAGACCUGUGUGAAGAAGAGGAAGAUGACGACUGGAAGAGGUGUAGAAGUUCAGGAGGAUCAGAGGGACAAUGAUGGUGGCCUCCACUAUGCGGAGCUGAGCCAGCAGGAGUCUGCCGCACACAAGGGUGUUGAUAAACAACAUUUAGAAGAAAAGGCGUCUAGUACUGUCUACAGUGAGGUCUGCAAGCCAGAAAGGGAGGCCAUGAAGAUACUUUAAUUGGAGAAAGCAGAAGAAUCGGAACUACUAGGACACCUCCACUCGGCGCUUGAUUCCUGAAGACAUCUGCGUCUCCCAGCUCUGGUCCAGCUCCAGCUGCCCCGUGACCCUCCCGCCCUUAAGUCCCUGUGCGCAUGUGGCCUUCUCACAACCUGUGUCGACUUCCCCAGCUGUCUUCCCACUCAAGAUCCUCACCCUGCAGGAUGAGAGCUCUUCUUCCAUCACUGACCCAGCGCCUAGCCCCUCUUCUCCUGAAACUUCUCAAAGAGGACCUUCCUGCACAUGAUAAUCCCCACAGCCUCUGCUGUGCGGUUGAUGUGUAUCUUUCUCAGCACUCAAGCCCAGGCGUGGAGACAGUUGACCAGACUACAGAGGACAAG